ensembl:lincRNA
GAGACAGAAUCUCUUGUUUGUUUGUUUUUGUCUUGUUUUUUGAGAUAGAGUUUCUCUGUGUAACUCUGGCUGCCCUGGAACUCAGAACUCUGACUCUGCCUCCCAAGUGCUGGGAUUAAAGGCGUGCGCCACCACUGCCCUGUUUGAGGCAGUAUCUCUUUUUUUUUUUGGGGGGGGGGUUUCUCUGUAUAGCUCUGGCUGUCCUGGAACUCACUUUGUAGAUCAGGCUGGUCAGGGCUACAAAGUAAGACCCUGUCUCAUAAAUGAAUUAAUUAAUAUUAAACUUAACAACGACUUCCUAUGAUGUUUUCAGAAAGUCUUGAAUCUUUCUGUGGACAGAGUGCACUUCUCCUUACUUACCAGGGCUUUUCUCAGCUAUAGUUAAUGAAUUAUUCAGACCAUGUUUAAUGUUUCUUCCGGUUGUUUUAUGAAGUCGAAGACGACACUCCUGUUUCUCGCCUCCCCUUGCACCCUGCUCCAACCCUAGGUUAUUCACCCGUGUACACUCAACAUCCUUGGGAACUCAAAAAUCAAUGACCCCCAUCUGCACAGAUGAUGGGUGAAGCCCACCGAGUUUAACGGAGCAGCGAGUCACCUGAGUGAACUGCCCAGUUAGAUCCAAGUUCAGGGGAUGUAGCUCAGGGAUGAAAUGCCUGCAUGUGUGAGGCCCUCAGCUGGGUCCCCAGCAACUCUCCAGUGACAGAACAAGUCACUUUGGGAGGGAGGACUGAGUAACUCCCAUCUCCCAAGGAGAUGACCACCCUCUGCCCUUAGCCAUGGACCUCUGUGCAGGGGCAGAACACCUUAGCCCAGGCAUUCUAACCCCAGCAUGCAACUCCCUUGAAAAGGUAGCCUCCUCGUCCAGAGACCUAACCGACCUUCACACCCUGACUGUUGACAAUGGCCUGGAAACCCCUGCAGGGAAAAAGAAACUUGGCCGCCUAUAAAAUGUGCCCAGUUUCUGGGGAAGCUUUUUUUCAGGGAUAUAUGUGAUGUCUCCAGACUAACCAAAGGAUAGGGGCUGCCAAGUUGUUGCUGGGGGGCCCCUCACUAUCUUCAAAGGAAAAGCCUCCUUCCUUCGAGGUUCUGUGGCUGGCUUUUCUGCUAAGGGGGCAUCGUCACCUCUCCUCUUGGUCUUGGGCUGAUCAAACAUGGCCCAGAUUCUAACAUUUGCCACAUCUCUCUUCCCAUCCUUUUCUACCCUCCCAGAUUCCCCAACAUGCCCUUCCUGCUUGAGAGCACCUCCUAAUAGUUUUCUCCCCUGAGCUGGGGAAGACUUGAACUACUAUAUUGGCUUCCGGAAUCAAUCUGAGUCCUUGGUUUUUGGUCUGGAGAAAAAAAAAAAAUCAGGAUUUCCUUGGGACUUUUCAAAUUCCAGAUAAUAGCUUGUAGAAUCCCAUUACUUCUUGAGAGCCCCAAUGUGAGAUCGCUGUUUGGUGGUACCCAUGAAAUGUGACAACCAUUGUAUCAUGAAUCCUGCUAAAAUACCUCUGAUGAGAGCCAGAUCAACAGUUAAGAGCACUUGAUCCUGCCUUAGACCUAAGUUGGUUUCCCGGCACUCACAACUACCCAGAACUCCAGUCCCUGGGGAUACAACAUUCUCUUUGAGCUCAAGGGUACCAGGCAUGCAUGUGGUACACAGACAUACAUGCAAGCAAAAGAAUAAUACACAUACAUAUAAUUUGAUUAAAUCUAAAAACAUUAGGAAAAACAUCUCCGAUGAUGGCAAAAAGCAGCGUCUACUGACUGCAUAUAAAGCAUUUCAUUAACUUUUCUUAGUCCUCAUAGCCGCUUAAACCGUGGCUAAUUCUAUGAUGCCUGUUACCUGAAAGGAAAUGAAGGCCCUGAAAUUUUGAGAAACUCCCCUCAGGUCACAGGGUAGGUUAAUCGCAGAGUCCCACGGAGAAAGUCUUUGUUAACUAAUGCUCCACCUCUCACCAUGCCAGUGGUGUGGCCUCUCCUGCCUGGCCAUCAGCCUUGCCUACAGCAGAGUUUUUGCGUGUCCGUCCCAUCUCAGGACAUCUUUCAAACAUCGUUCAAAACAUCUUUCCCUCUGCCUCUACAAACAUGACUCCUCAGGAACCACUUCCUUCUCUACAGCCAACUAACUCAGCUACCCCCAUCCUCACUGGCCUGAGAUGGCUUGCGAGCCUCCCAAAGGACUAGGUACCCACCUGCACCCUUCAGACACAUUAUUAGGGGAUGCGGGGCUAGAGGGAUCUUCUGGGCAACUACGUAGUGUCAUGGUACUCCCUUGGAGUGGAGAGGCACUAAGUAGCAAUUGAGAGCAGGUCAUGUGGAUGGAGAAUUCCUGGGAAGCAAUGUGGGAAGGAGCCCUGGGGAGCUAAGGGGUCCUUAGCCCAGAGGUCUCCACUACUUCCGUGCUCUUUAAUAAAGACACACGAAGCGUGACGAAGACCCUAACAAAUACUAUUUCACCAUGGACACUGUGGGGAACAGGGGAUCCCACCAUCCAAAGUCAGGCAGGUGCACAAACCUCAACCCCGGGAGGUGAAGCACAGGAAGUGGGAUCCCUUGAUGGCCGACCCUUGAAGCAAGAGCUUUUUACUACCGUUAGCAGGGCACUCAUAAGCCUCCAGAAGAGCUGGCCUGAGGACACAGGGAUGCAGCAGCCGCCUCGGGAGAGGGUGAGUCACAUGACGAGAUAGGCCUGAACGAGCUAGACGUUCCUCCAUAGAGGAACACGGAGACAAUUAGAGAAAGGGGUCCAGCAGACACCCCCGGGGGGGGGGUACCGUAAGGGAAAGCCAGGAGGGGGUACCCUGUGUCAAUGCUCUCUG